AUGGUGUAAAUACUUCCACCGAGUUCAAUUUCAAGUCCCCAGUUGGCUUAACAACUGGCUCAAAAAAUUCUCAAAAUAUUUAGCAACAGCUCUUGCUCAUGGCCCAUUAGAUCACUGUCCCCAUUAGUGAGGCCAGCAACAGUACAAGCUCCAGGACCCAGCUGUACACCUCCUGAGCCCACCGCGCCCACGUCCUGGCCUUUAUUUGCAAAGUGCCCUUACAUGCACUGGGCAGCUUGGGCUCCAGGCACGCCAUUUAGCCAUUUGAGUUUCUUGUGUUUCAGAGUCCUGGAGUACAGUAGCCGGUCUGCCCUGCAGGUUGUCAUGACGCUCACUGAAGUGAUGGAUGUGAAAUGACUUUUGCCAAAAUGAACGCCAGACCUAAUCAAGAGAAUCAUACGGUGUUCUACACUUGGUUCAGAACAUACUGGAAAUACCCACCCGUGCAUCACGCCAAGCAGGAGUGCAGGAAAUGUAAGCUGCUUUCCUUUAACCCCCUCGAAGGGGUCACUUGAGGUUGAGGGCAAAGGGGCUUCCCCAGCCUAGAAGCUGAUGGGCCUCUGGCUCCUGCUUCCCCCUUCCUCCUCCAGCUAAUGACAAACACCUGGAUGUCUUAACGUCCUCCGUGAUGUCUUAACGUCCUCCGUGUCCUCAUCUGUUAUUCUGGGACACAGCCUGGGGAGGCUACCUGAGUAAGACCCCCCUGACUGAGGCUGGCCUCUUCUUGCCACGUGGCUGGCCCAGUGCCAUCCCACUUGAUGGAUGCAGAAGGGUGAGGCACUGAUCCUGCUCGUUGGACAGGAUGCUGGCAGGAGGGUGGGAGGAGCAGGGGCGGAGCUUCCAGAACAAAGGUGAACAGGGAGCCCUGGGGGCCCAGAUAGGCAUCAAAAAGGCUCUGCAGAGGGAGCAGGCCGCAGCAGCUGCCCGCCUCUGCGCCCAGCAGUAGGUCAUACAACCCUCGCCUGGUCCCUCCUGCCUGCCCUGGACGGGCGCCGAGGAACACUUCGCGUAGAGAGGCCCUGUUCUCCAGCGUGAUUGCGCCCACACUGCUCUGUGGCUUUCUCUACCUGGUGUGGGUUGCUACUGCAG
rnacentral:lncRNA from 1 species